AGCUCCAGUAGCGUAUAUUAAAGUUGUUGCGGUUAAAAAGCUCGUAGUUGGGUUUCUGCCGGGAGCACCUGAUCCGCCCCCUGGGCUGGUUUUCGGCGUGUUCCUGGCAUCUUUCUGGGGACGGCUUCUGUACUUGACUGUAUGGAGUGGAAUCCAGGGCUUUUACUUUGAGGAAAUUAGAGUGUUCCAAGCAGGCUGCUGCCUUGAAUGCAUUAGCAUGGAAUAAUGAGAUAGGACCUCGGUUCCUUUUUGUUGGUUUCUUGAACUGAGGUAAUGAUUAACAGGGGCAGUUGGGGACAUUCGUAUUUAACUGUCAGAGGUGAAAUUCUUGGAUUUGUUAAAGACGCACUACUGCGAAAGCAUUUGCCAAGGAGGCUU
rnacentral:rRNA from 1 species